GAUGAACGCUGGCGGCGUGCCUAAUACAUGCAAGUCGAGCGAACAGACGAGGAGCUUGCUCCUCUGACGUUAGCGGCGGACGGGUGAGUAACACGUGGAUAACCUACCUAUAAGACUGGGAUAACUUCGGGAAACCGGAGCUAAUACCGGAUAAUAUAUUGAACCGCAUGGUUCAAUAGUGAAAGACGGUUUUGCUGACACUUAUAGAUGGAUCCGCGCUGCAUUAGCUAGUUGGUAAGGUAACGGCUUACCAAGGCAACGAUGCGUAGCCGACCUGAGAGGGUGAUCGGCCAAACUGGAACUGAGACAAGGUCAAGACUCCUACGGGGGGCAGCAGUGGGGAAUAUUGCGCAAUGGGCGAAAGCUUGAAGCAGCAAAGCCGCGUGGGUGAAGAAGGUCUUCGGGUCGUAAAACUCUGUUAUUGGGGAAGAACAAAUGUGUAAGUAACUAUGCACGUCUUGACGGUACCUAAUCAGAAAGCCACGGCUAACUACGUG
rnacentral:rRNA from 1 species